GUGACGUGUUUGCUCGCUUUAGUCAUUCUGUUGGUUGUGUUACACUAUCAGGAGAGCAGCAGGAGUGUCCAUAAGGUACACGUGGUGAGCAUGGACAACUCUGACCCCUUGGUCUACCGGAAAGAGUCAUGCAUCUGCUGCAUAUUUUGUUCCUGUAUGAUCAACACACAACAAGCACGGCUCUACAACCUAUUAAAGGGAUACAGACAGAACAGAUGAAAAAUGCAAAUGAAGCUAUUGCGACCAAUAGACGAGAAGUGGUUUCAUUACCGACCAAUAGACAAACGUGAUGUCAUCAUAAGGCUCCACCUCUCUUUGUUUGUCAGCUGUGCUAUGAGAAUUCAGCCAUCAAAGUACAGACAUGGGAAAUGUCUAAUUGGUAGCAAGGAGCACCACCACAAUUGUUCAAGUGACAAUCUAAAUUGUAGUUGAUUACAUCAUCAAUACCCAAACCUACAGAUACAAAUAGACAUUGCAAUGUCCAUCCCUAUCAUUAGGUCGACAACCUUCCACUGAAGUGUGACAAAGCUUGAAGAAAAAGGAUGUGGCACCCAAACUGGCACCCUAAUGUACUGCAGCCAUGCAUCAACGCACGGGCACCCCAGCAGCAGCUUUGCCAUUUGCACAACCCUAUUCAGCACCAGCACCAGUAGCAAUGGCACUUGCACAACAUUCCUCAGCAACAGCAACAGCAACAGCAACAUCAGCAACACUACUUGUACUCCCCCCCCCCCCCAACAUCACCUUUCCUACUUCCAACAGCAGCACCAGCAGAAACUCUAUGAGCAGUAGCAGCAGCAGUACUGGCAGCCCUAACAACAUAACCCCCAACAACAGCACAGACAAAGGAACUGCACCAGCCCAUGCACCAGGACCAGCACGAGCACUUCAACAACAACAACAGCCUGCAAGCAGCAGCACCACCAUACACCCACAGCAACACAAGCAAUAACAUGAGACGAGUAACGAGAACAACAAUGUCGCGGUGGAGAACGAGAUGUGGCUGCAAAGUAAGAGAAUAUAGAAGAAUGAUACAUGUGACGUGGUGUGUGUGUGUGUGUGUGUGUGUGUGUGUGUGUGUGUGUGUGUGUGUGUGUGUGUGUUUGUGUGUGUGUGUGUGUGUGUGCUGUAGCUCAAUUGGUUAGAGUGCAUUUGGAGAGUGGAAACAUCCAGGUUGCAAGUUCAAGUCAGUGAUGGCGAGCUAUUGCAUAAUUUCCUUAAGCAGAAACUUACAACUCAAAAGUAUAAAUGAGUACCUGGUCUUUGACUUGGGUGGACAUGACCGCUGGCAUGGCAGUAACAUCAUGCAGCAGAUGGAAACAUGUGGGCCUUGGUGUCCAGUCCCAGACCUGUGCCAUAGUCAAUGCCGCUGGAUGACUCCGGCCAAGCUCCAGAUGGAUUGUAGCGCUGGCCCUUAUACCUUGACAUAGCGCAUGGAGGCUCUGUCUCUAGAGGCAGGGGAGCUAACUCCGUAACUGACCCUAUAGUCGACGUCGAACAACGUGGAGGGCUUAACGUUUGUCCAUUGUGUGUGUGUGUGUGUGUGUGUGUGUGUGUGUGUGUGUGUGUGUGUGUGUGUGUGUGUGUGUGUCCAAGGUUGAAUGUGGACCACAUAGAACUCCAGGUCCAGCCGAACCGAUUGGACCAAUCGGAUGUGGCGAAAGUCGUGGAGAUUGUAGUGAAUGUGGAGCACAGGGAGAUGAGACAGCGGGAGUGUCAGGACAAACUGGAGCAGAAGGAGUUGCAAGACUCGAGGGCCCAUAAGGUAACUUACACGUGGUGAGCAUGGACAACUCAGACCCCUUGGUGUACCAGAAGGAGUCAUGCAUCUGCUGCAUAUUUUGUUCCUGUAUGAUCAACACUCAACAAGCAAGGCCCUGCAACCUAUUAAAGGGAUACAGACAGAACAGAUGAAAAAGCUAACUUGGUGAAUAUGUGCACAUGAAAAUGGUGUCUGGGUAUGCCAGGCCUGUGUGUGUUCUCGAGUUUGUGUUGCAGUCGGCUUGUGAUAGUAGUGCAAAUACUGAUUAGAUAGAUUAGAGUAUAACAAUUAUUGCUGUACUUGUAUUGUGAUAUAUACCAAUGACUGACAAGGAUGUAAUGCAGUAAGCAUGAGACUAUA